GAUGAACGCUGGCGGCGUGCCUAAUACAUGCAAGUCGAGCGAAUGGAUUAAGAGCUUGCUCUUAUGAAGUUAGCGGCGGACGGGUGAGUAACACGUGGGUAACCUGCCCAUAAGACUGGGAUAACUCCGGGAAACCGGGGCUAAUACCGGAUAACAUUUUGAACCGCAUGGUUCGAAAUUGAAAGGCGGCUUCGGCUGUCACUUAUGGAUGGACCCGCGUCGCAUUAGCUAGUUGGUGAGGUAACGGCUCACCAAGGCAACGAUGCGGAGCCGACCUGAGAGGGUGAGCGGCCACACUGGGACUGGGACACGGCCCAGACUCCUACGGGAGGCAGCAGUAGGGAAUCUUCCGCAAUGGACGAAAGUCUGACGGAGCAACGCCGCGUGAGUGAUGAAGGCUUUCGGGUCGUAAACUCUGUUGUUAGGGAAGAACAAGUGCUAGUUGAAUAAGCUGACACCUUGACGGUACCUAAUCAGAAAGCCACGGCUAACUACGUGCCAGCCGCCGCAGUAA
rnacentral:rRNA from 1 species